AUUGAACGCUGGCGGAAGGCAUAAUACAUGCAAGUCGAACGGAUGUAGCAAUACAUUAGUGGCGCACGGGUGCGUAACGCGUAUGCAACCUACCUUCAUCAGGGGGAUAACUACCCGAAAGGGUGGCUAACACCGCAUAAUACUAUUGAGUGGCAUCACUUGAUAUUUAAAUCUGAGGAGGAUGAAGAUGGGCAUGCGUCUGAUUAGCUAGUUGGUGUGGUAACGGCGCACCAAGGCGACGAUCAGUAGGGGAACUGAGAGGUUGGUCCCCCACACUGGCACUGAGAUACGGGCCAGACUCCUACGGGAGGCAGCAGUAGGGAAUAUUGGUCAAUGGUGGGAACACUGAACCAGCCAUUCCGCGUGCAGGAAGAAGGGUCUCUGACUUGUAAACUGCUUUAGCAAGGGAAGAAAAAGCUCAUGCGUGAGAAAUUGACGGUACCUUGAGAAUAAGCACCGGCUAACUACGUGCCAGCAGCCGCCGUAACAC
rnacentral:rRNA from 1 species